rnacentral:rRNA from 1 species
GACGAACGCUGGCGGCGUGCUUAACACAUGCAACUCGAACGGAAAGGCCCUGCUUUUGUGGGGUGCUCGAGUGGCGAACGGGUGAGUAACACGUGAGUAACCUGCCCUUGACUUUGGGAUAACUUCAGGAAACUGGGGCUAAUACCGGAUAGGAGCGCCUGCUGCAUGGUGGGGGUUGGAAAGUUUCGGCGGUUGGGGAUGGACUCGCGGCUUAUCAGCUUGUUGGUGGGGUAGUGGCUUACCAAGGCUCUGACGGGUAGCCGGCCUGAGAGGGUGACCGGCCACAUUGGGACUGAGAUACGGCCCAGACUCCUACGGGAGGCAGCAGUGGGGAAUAUUGCACAAUGGGCGGAAGCCUGAGGCAGCAACGCCGCGUGCGGGAUGACGGCCUUCGGGUUGUAAACCGCUUUCGCCUGUGACGAAGCGUGAGUGACGGUAAUGGGUAAAGAAGCACCGGCUAACUACGUG